UUCAGUGCCUCGGGCUUCCUCUCUGAGCAUCAGACCGAGGAACAAACUCUAGGGGGGAAAAGUGGAAGGAUUUGUGUCUGUCUGCAGGUAUGCACUGUUACUUCACUUUUACCCAACAAUCAAUGCCUGAUUUGAGAUCAAGCAAACCUGAAGGUGCCCAUAUGCAUUUUUAUCUCAGUUGAAGUCUGUUUUGCCAAAAUGGUUUGGGGUACACUUCUUCUAGUACAAAUCUAACGUUACAUUUAGACCCUGUUGCAUAAGGAAAGACUUAUUAUGCAAGGACUGUCUUUCAAACUGCUUUGAACUGUUUCAUUGAACCUGUGUGUUCAUACAUUCAGUAAUUUGCUUUGUGUUCAGCCCAGGAUAUCAGAGGAAGCCAAACAUAUCACAUCUGUUUCCACUGGAGACCUGUAUCACAUCAAUAAUGCAGCAUCACCAGAUUCUUCCUGAAAGGCAGCUGAGAGAGAGAGAGAAAGAGAGAGAGUGAGUGAGGUUUUAAAGGGCAAACAACCCUUUUCUCUGUUUGAAUAAUAUAUUUUAAAGCAAUGCUGUUUUAUUUAUCCCUCUCAAAUAUCUUAUUUUAAUUCUUCAGAAGUUUUGAGUGAUUAGAACAUUUUAGAGGUAUUCAGGAGUUUGAAAUCACACCAAAAAGGACAUUUUAGUCUAGUCCAGAUACUGAGUAAAGAAGGAAAAUUAUAUUGUUUGAAGAAAAAAAAAAAGGUGGAUCAGAUAUAAUCAUGAUGCUUCUUAUGACAAUUUCAAGGACCAAUCCUGAAACCACAGAGCUGAUUCCUUAUAGGAAGUCAUGCUACAGAGUUCUGUAUCCUACAGUUUUGUCUUUUCUUUUCUUAACAAACUUCAAACCAUUUGCUCCUUUUUAAAAAUUUGUAUAGUGAUUUGGGGUGAGAGUGAUGAUAUAUGUUCUCUUUGAUUGUAGAGAGGAGGAUGGUAAUGGUGCUGGAAGGGAGCUUUCCUGUUAGUUUGAUUUACUAGGUGGCUGAGUUAUUUUGUAACUGCCAGUGUGCUCUUAGAUCUGACUGAUUACCGCUGAGUUUGUUCAUCCUUAUAUUAUUUUUCAUUAUGCCAGAUGAUCAUUAUUAUGCUGUUCAUUUUCAGGAUCCUAGAAUUUGUAGUAUGGCAAUUACAUUGCUUAAAACUAACUAAAUAAAAAUGACCAAAUUUUAGCUAAAAUGUACUAAACCAAAAACAUUAAAAAAUAGGAAACCCCCCUCCUAAACAAGAGAAACAAAACUCCCUGGACUAAGCUGUUGGUUCUCAACUGUGUCUUAAUGAGUGUGUUUGUAUUCAUUCAAUUAUUGAAAACCCUUUAUUAAAAAAAAUAUAACAUGAUGGAGGCUCUGAUUAGUUGCAUUGAGACUGCAUGUAAAACAAUCCUUCUGUAUUGUAGUUUAACACAGGGGUUAUUUUCUGAUAUUUGGCACAAUAAAUCAUCAUAGGUGAGUUGGCUUUUUAAGGUAGGUUUUAUAUUGGAAACAUUUAAAAAUUCUUCGCCUUUGAAUUUAUGCACAUUUUCCUUUAUAUUUCUUGGGAUUCUUUUAAUGCAAUACAUAUAUUUCUGUUAGGAGCUAAUAACCUUCAUAUGGUCCUCUUGUCAAGUACUAUGUCAUGACCAAUAAUAUCAGCAUAGUAACUGAAUACCAGUCAUAUUAAAAAAAUAAGUCCCACUUGAGAUCAGUCUAGCUUAGGGCAGUGCCCCAGGUUCAGUUGCAACAGCUGCAAGUCAUUGAAUUCUUGGAAAGUAGUGACCUAUUAAAAUAAAUGUGUUGGGAGACCCCCCUCCCCACCCCGGCCCCACCCCCGCCCAAGGAGAACAGCUUUGCAGUGCUGGGAGGGCAUUUAACACAUGAUAGGCUGCUUGCUUUUUAACUGCAAGUGUUAACUGUAAAUUUUAAGUUGAGCAUGUGAUAACAUUUUACUUAUUGUCUUGCAGUAAAACCUGUAGCUUCAGGCAUGGUUCAGGACCCCAUGGCAUUUGACACAAAUGCAACAAAAGUCUCUGCAGAGAGCUGUUUUGCACUGGCUUCAGACUUCACCUUAACCAUUCCUUUUUGCAGUUUUUUAGACCCCACUCAACCCAGGCCACCCCACCCAGAAGAAAGGCUACACAUCUAGAUUCCUUUCAGUUCUAUCAAUUAUUCUAACCUAAAAUCUCACUUCAAUUUUACAUUUAAUAUGUACUUCAUUUGUUACAUGCACUCUAAAUUAAGUCUGUGCCUAUUUGGUACAAGCACUUAGGAUAAUUAAAGUAACAUGACCAGAUUCUCAAAAGUAAUUUAUUGUUAGAAUCUACAGCAUUGCCUAAUUAGUAAGGUUAUAUAUAGGUUUAUACAGUUUCAUAGGGACAGUUAUAAGAGUAAUGUGUGCAUAUGUAUGUGAUGUUUGUUUAUUUCUUUGUUUUAGCUCGAUUUCCCUUAAUAAAAACACUUUACUCUGCAAAAAGGCUAAGGAUAAAUGGGAAGAGAGAAAAUGUAGAAUGAUGUGGGAGUGAUAUGUACAUUAUCACAAAUUAACAGUAUCUGGUAACUCAUCAAGUUAUAUACAGUAAUCCUCAUAGGAAAAAAAUGCUGUCCUGUUGCCCUACUUAAAAAUCCAUACAGUGUGCAUCAGAGUACAUUAUAUUCCUUCAGUGCAUUUGAAGCAUUUUGAAUCAGAGGCAACUUUACUUUCCAUUGUCUAGCAAGCCUCAGUAUAGAUAAUCCACCGAGAGCUAGUGGCAAUAUACAUGUCUGCUCUCCUUUCAAAAUUAAUUAUGGCAAAGAUGUGUACUGCUGGUAAUGCUCAUCAGGAUGAAGGAAAUACACAGUCAUGAAAUCUGGCUAUUUAAAGUAAAAUCACUUCAGAUUUUAAAAUGAAUGAGCUUUUUCAAAAAAAUAUAAAGGAGUUCUCUCUCUCUCUCUCUCUCUCUCUCUCUCUCUCUCUCUCUCUGCUUUUUAUUGAAGUAGUCACAAUAAAUAGAUGUUGGUUUUAGAGGCAUGUGGUAACACCUCAAACUAAUAUAUAUAUUUGUUAAAUUGAUUUACUGAUGAAGGGUUGUCUGUUAAAAAAAUCCUGGGUCACUUGUCACCAACAACAAGAAAUUUGUAAAGGACACACCCUGAGGUUGCAAGUAGCACCCAGAGGCAUGUGCCAAACAGUUUCUUUUAAGUAUCCUAUGCAUGACUUCCUGGCUAGCAUAGAAAAGAUUCCUUAGACACGUUACUCAUUUUCACUGAAGACGGGUAUAUAUAGGCGCAUGCACACACACGCAGAGGCACAAGUGUGCAUGUACCUUGUCUAAUUAGAAAAGUAUAUACAAUGUUAUAGUUUUCUAACUCUGUGUGUGUGUGUGUGUGUGUGUGUGUGUAGACACACGUGUGCAAACCCACACAGAGUAUAAUCCUAUUUUUGUUUUUUUUUUAACAGCUUACCUCUAAAAUUAUACGUCUGAAACAUUA